GCCCUUCGGGGAGCCGUGAGACAGGUGCUGCAUGGCUGUCGUCAGCUCGUGUCGUGAGAUGUUGGGUUAAGUCCCACAACGAGCGCAACCCCUAUGGAUAGUUGCCAGCAAGUAAUGUUGGGCACUCUAUUCAGACUGCCCGGGUUAACCGGGAGGAAGGUGGGGACGACGUCAAGUCAUCAUGGCCCUUACGCCUAGGGCUACACACGUACUACAAUGGCGCGCACAAAGGGGAGCGAGACCGCGAGGUGGAGCCAAUCCCAAAAAACGCGUCCCAGUCCGGAUUGCAGUCUGCAACUCGACUGCAUGAAGUUGGAAUCGCUAGUAAUUCGAGAUCAGCAUGCUCGGGUGAAUGCGUUCCCGGGCCUU
rnacentral:rRNA from 1 species